rnacentral:rRNA from 1 species
GAUGAACGCUAGCUACAGGCUUAACACAUGCAAGUCGAGGGGAAACGACAUCGAAAGCUUGCUUUUGAUGGGCGUCGACCGGCGCACGGGUGAGUAACGCGUAUCCAACCUGCCCAUCACUUGGGAAUAACCUUGCGAAAGUAAGACUAAUACCCAAUGAUAUCCCACGAAGGCAUCGGAAUGGGAUUAAAGAUUUAUCGGUGAUGGAUGGGGAUGCGUCUGAUUAGCUUGUUGGCGGGGUAACGGCCCACCAAGGCAACGAUCAGUAGGGGUUCUGAGAGGAAGGUCCCCCACAUUGGAACUGAGACACGGUCCAAACUCCUACGGGAGGCAGCAGUGAGGAAUAUUGGUCAAUGGGCGAGAGCUUGAACCAGCCAAGUAGCGUGCAGGAAGACGGCCCUAUGGGUUGUAAACUGCUUUUAUAAGGGAAUAAAGUGGGUCACGUGUGACUUUUUGCAUGUACCUUAUGAAUAAGGACCGGCUAAUUCCGUG